rnacentral:rRNA from 1 species
UGGGGAAUAUUGCACAAUGGGCGCAAGCCUGAUGCAGCCAUGCCGCGUGUGUGAAGAAGGCCUUCGGGUUGUAAAGCACUUUCAGCGAGGAGGAAGGGUAGUGUGUUAAUAGCACAUUGCAUUGACGUUACUCGCAGAAGAAGCACCGGCUAACUCCGUGCCAGCAGCCGCGGUAAUACGGAGGGUGCAAGCGUUAAUCGGAAUUACUGGGCGUAAAGCGCACGCAGGCGGUUUGUUAAGUCAGAUGUGAAAUCCCCGCGCUUAACGUGGGAACUGCAUUUGAAACUGGCAAGCUAGAGUCUUGUAGAGGGGGGUAGAAUUCCAGGUGUAGCGGUGAAAUGCGUAGAGAUCUGGAGGAAUACCGGUGGCGAAGGCGGCCCCCUGGACAAAGACUGACGCUCAGGUGCGAAAAGCGUGGGGAGCAAAACAGGAUUAGAUACCCUGGUAGUCCACGCUGUAAAACGAUGUCGACUUGGAGGUUGUGCCCUUGAGGCGUGGCUUCCGGAGCUAACGCGUUAAGUCGACCGCCUGGGGGAGUACGGCCGCAAGGUUAAAAAC